rnacentral:rRNA from 1 species
UACGUAGGGGGCAAGCGUUGUCCGGAAUCAUUGGGCGUAAAGCGCGUGUAGGCGGCCCGGUAAGUCCGCUGUAAAAGUCCAGGGCUCAACCCUGGAAAGCCGGUGGAUACUGUCGGGCUCGAGUCCGGAAGAGGCGAGUGGAAUUCCUGGUGUAGCGGUGAAAUGCGCAGAUAUCAGGAGGAACACCGAUGGCGAAGGCAGGUCUCUGGGCAUUAACUGACGCUGAGGAGCGAAAGCAUGGGGAGCGAACAGG